UUGAAACGUGUUUCCAACAACCCAUUUCCCCACGAACCCAAAUAUAUGAUUCGUUUUGAAAUCAGACCUCAAAUUGAGGUUCAAAUCCCCAAUUUUAAAAAAACCUAGGUUCUACCCAAAACACCUGAUUUAGCCCAUGAAAACCCUUGAUUUUAAGUUUAAAACAUCUUAAAUGAUGUUAAUGAUUGAAAGAAAUGAGUAAAAAUCAACUUAGAAUGUAUUUAGAAGAAAGUUUUCUCUUGAAAAAUCGCCCAAAGGAAUUGUGUUUUGAAAAUAGGGAGAAAAACUUCUAAAUUUCGACUAAGUUUGAAAAUUGCGAACUGGGGUUCACAAUUGGGAACCCCGACAAUUUAUGGAAAUUGCGAACUUUUGUAUGCAUUUUCGAACUCAGAACCAACUGGAGGACUUCAUAUUUGCGACAAAUGUAUCGCAUUUUCGAUCGUCCGACCUUCGCAUUUACAAAGAGUUUCAUCGCAUUGCGAUCCAAGGCAGGCAUGGCUACUUUCGCAUUUGCGAUCCAACCUUCGCAUUUGCAAACUGGGCUUCGCAAAUUCAAAGCCUGCAGGCCUGUUCAUAAAAGAUUUUCCAAAAAUUAAAAAAUGCAAUACGACACCUUUCCAAAACUCACCCGAGCCCUCGGGGCUCCAAACCAAAUAUGCACACAACCUCUAAAACAUCCUACAGACUUACUCAUGCGAUCAAAUCGCCAAAUAACAUCAUAUACCUCGAUUUAAGCCUCAAAACUCAUGAUUUCCUCCAAAUUUUCAUAAAACAUCAAAUUUCUAUUUUAAGUCCGAAACAUGUCAAACGACGUCUGUUUUCAACCAAACUUUACAGAAAGCGCUUAAACCAUAUAUAAGACUUGUACCGGGGGCAGGAACCAAAAUACGGGCCCGAUACCAUCAUCUUUUAAUCAAAUUUCAUUUCUAAUUUCCUUAAUUAUUUCCAGAAAAUAGUUUCACGCAAAGAUUCAUUUCUCAGGCUUGUGACCUCAGAAUUCGAUUCCGGGCAUAUGUCAAAGUCCCAUAUUUUCCUGCAAACCCUCUAGGAUCAUCAAAUUAUGAGUUCGAGUCCGUUUACUCAAAGAGUUUACCAGAGUCAAAUUUAUUCAACUUAAUAUCAAAUUUUAAUAUUUUUCUCACAGACUUCAUAUCUAAGCUUUCCGGUUACGGGCCCGGAUUGCGCACGCAAAUCGAGACAACUCUAGAUGAGGUUUUUAAGGCUUUGAAAGUAUGGAACAGGUAAGAAAAUAAGUGAUGACCCCUUUGGGUCGUCACAUCAUCCACUACUAAAACAAUUGUUCAUCUUCAAACGGACAAAAGAAGGAAUCACCUAAGUCGGGAAAAAGAUGGGGAUAACGGCUUCGCAUAUCAGACUCGGACUUCCAGGUUGAUGCCUCAGGAGGCUGACCUCUGCACUUGACAAAAACAGGAGGAAAACUCUUGGACCUCAAAUGACGAACAUGCCGGUCUAAAAUAGCUACCGACUCCUUCUCAAAAGAAAAGUCUUUGUCCAACUAGACGGAGUUGAAAUCUAAUACGUGGGCUGGGGGCCAUGAUACCUCCGCACAAUAGAUACAUGAAAAACUGGAUGCAUGGCUGAUAAGCUGGGUGGCAAUGCAAGUCUAUAAGCCACCUCUCCUAGUCGAUCAAGAAUCUCAAAUUGACCGAUAAACCUAGGGCUAAGCUUUCCCUUCUUUCCAAAUCUCAUCACGCCUUUCAUAGGCGACACUCGGAGCAAUACCUGCUCACCAACCAUCAGUGGCACAUUUUGAAUCUUGCAGCCUGCAUAACUCUUUUGCCUAGACUGAGCUGAAUGAAGCCUACCUUGAAUGAUCUUGACCUUGUCCAAGGCCUCCUGAACCAAAUCUGUACAAAACAAAUGAGCCUUUCCCACCUCAAACCAUCCAAAUAACCAAAUCCCAGCUAAUACCAAUAGGCACGCACCUCACAAACUAGAACUCAAGAAGCAUGCAACGAAGAUGGAUGAAUAUGGGAAGGGAAAAACACAUAAGGGUGCUAUCAAACAAGUCAAAAUAGCACAAAUUUUCUAAAACACUAAUCUACAAACAUCUAACAAGAAGGAAUGAAACAUAUAAAGGACUCACAAGGAUCUUAUAAUAAUAUAGAAGGGAAAAACACAUAAGGGAAUUAUCAAGCAAGUCAAACUAACACAAGUUCUUCUAAAACACUAAUCUAAACACAUCUAACAAUAAGGAAUGAAACAUAUAAAAGACUCACAAGGAUGUUUACUGAUAUAACUCUUAUCGCGGUACACAGCCCGCUCUCGGCCUAUCAAAUCACUUGAAAUCACGAGGGUUCCGCCUUCAACACUGCAUCACAAGUAGGGUACACAUCAACCCAUCUGGAGACUCUCACCAGAUCAAUUUUGUCUACCACUCCCAGCACAGAUUGGCUCCCACACCGGUGGAGCAUAGAAAUCACAGCUCGUAACUAAGGAUACCCCGAAAUCACAUAAAACCUAUCGAGACGGACAAUAGGAAUUUACUACUAGUCUCAUAACUCUCAGCAUCAACUAUAAAUAGACGAUAGACACGGCUAUUACUCACAUAGCCUCCCAACAGAUUAAUCACGCAAACAGAGUACAAUCAUGAAAUGCACCCACAAUGGAACAACAGAUAAGGGAACUUACCCCGAUAAGCAGAACUAUGAUGAACUAUAGAUCGUGCCCUAUAUAACAACUGAAUUCGUACCUGGAUGACAUUAGCUGGAAUGAAGGCCUGAAACCUAGGAACUCACCCCGAUAAGCAGAACUGUGAUGAACUACAGAGAGUGCCCUCUAAAACAAACUGAAUUCAUACCUAAAUGACAUUAGCUGGUACACCGACCUCAAACCUAAUAUAUGAAACACAUCCACGAGUCGGGCCUUCCCUUCUUGGGCGCCCUCUACCUGCCCGAAUACCUUGUUGUGACACAUCGGUUUGAAGUCUAGGACAAUCUCUCACCAUGUGGAUAAUAUCUCCACACUCAAAGAUCCUCUCUGCUGAUGAGGCGAUGGGAACUGUGCGGUACAGGUACUCCGAGACCCAUGAACACCUGAGUCUCUAUGCAAAGCAUGGCACCGAACUGAACUGGCUUACCCGUAGAACCUCUACCGUGACUCACCCUACCUCAAUAAUAAGGACCAUUAUAUCUCCCCGGUCUACGAGGCCUCCUCAAACUCUUUCUUCUGCUCUUAUCUGCUCCCUCUCUCAUGACCCUGCCUACUCUACCUCUCUUUAGCAUGCAUAUUCUCUAUCCUCCUAGCAAUGUUCACCACCUGCUGAUAUUAGAUAUCCAUCUCCAACACCGCGAGCCAUAGUAGACCUAAUGCUGGGAAUAAGCCCCUCAAUGAAAUGGUGAACCUUCUCGCGAACAGUAAAAACAUUGGUUGGGGCAUGUCUAGCCAAACUGGUGUAACAGACAUCAUACUCCGAGAUGGUCAUAGUACCCUGGUGCAAAUGCUCAAACUCCGUGUGUCAUGCAUCUGCGAGGCUUUAAAUGACAAACUCUCUCAGAAACAUAACUGAAAACUGGGCCCAAGUAAGUUAAGCUACCUUGUCUGGGUUGUCUAACUCAUAGGUUCCCCGCCAAUCAUAAGUGGCUCCUCGAACCUGGAAAGUAGUGAAAGAAACCCCAAGGCGUCGUACGAUUCUCAUCCACUAAAUACCGGAGGAUCAUACUUCUUGCACCUCUUUAAUCUCAUUUGCUCCUGUUCGAAAGUCGUUACCAUGCCCUCGGGCUGAACUAGUGCUGCAAGGGAUGCCGGAAUAAUCUCAAGGACCUGCUCAACACGCACUCGCUACUUAGGAGUACGGGCGGUGGGAUUCUGUGCUUCUCCCCCAGCAUGAGGUGUGGCUUCAACAAGGGGAAGCAACUUUGCCUGAGCCAAAGUGGUGUACACACUCAUGAACCGUGCCAAAGUUUCCUGAACGGUUGGAGUAGUAGUAGUAGUAGUAGGCGUGUCAGGUGCUUGGACUCUGGCUGGAUCUAUUGAUUAUACCUCGGCGGCCGCUCGCACAGGUUCUCUCGCUGCACAACGUUUGCGUCCUCGAACUCUACCCCGGCCCCGACCUUCGACGGUUGCAGCAAGGGGCGCAGGUUUCUGAUCACAUUGGGUAGUAAGUGGAGUUUUCCUAAUGGUUACAUAGCCUUUUGUAGAUAAGUACAGACGUCGUCAUACCGAUCCACAAGACUCUAAUAAAUCGACUUGUGAUAUGUGACUCCUAUGAACCUAGAGCUCUGAUACUAACUUGUCAUGACCUUAACUCGCCCUCAGUGAAUAUAUCAUGGUGGCACCUAGUCCCUAAGACUAGGUAAUCCUAAUAAUGCGGAAGAUAAACCAUAACAUUGCAGAAAAAAAAUUAAAACUGAUUUAAUAAAAUAACCAUGUGUUUAAGGUGCCGCUUGGCACAUAUCCCAAAACUUGGAAUCUCACAAAUCACAAGCUAUGGGAUAUAUGAGAGGCUCUGACUCAAUAAUAUCUAUACAAAGAAAUAAUACUGGAAAAGCUAUACGUAUUACAGAAAGCUAGAAAGGGACUCAUCGGUUUGUGGACGUGGCAGAUAUACCUCGAAGUCUCAACCGAUAUGCCUUCUUCCAAGGUUGACGGAACUGAGCGGAAGUACUUGUAUUUGCACAACAAAAAUGUGCAGAAGAGUAGCAUGAGCACACCAUAGCGGUGCCAGUAAGUAUCAAGACUAACCUCGAUAGAAUAAUGAAGAGAAAUAGUGAAGACACCUACCGGUCAAAUAAACUGUACAAUUAUAGGAACUUCUGAAAUGAUAUACAUAUAUUUAUUUAAGGAGUGCACAGAGUGAUUAAUAAUACUAAAAUCACAAAAGGGAAGAACAACAAGCAACAAUUAGAAUAUAAGAAGUGAUGAUACAUACUGACGGCAGACAUAAUCCAUCUACUAAGAUAACAACAUAGUAAGGGGAAAAACAAACCAAUAACUCAUGUUCUACGAUGAUGCUCACUUAAGGUCUUAUUCGACUGUUUCCACAAGUUUACCAAAUCUUGGACAAAACUCAACUCAUAAAAUCCCAGCAUCUGAUAUCUAACACUUGGCAUCCUGUGCCCCAUUAGACUCACAGUCAUGCUAGCCACUAACAAGCCAACUACGGCCACUCUUACAUAUAAAUUGAUUAAACGAGGAGUACCUCUAUGCUUAGAAAAACCAAGGGAACUUCACCUCCAAUAGGGGUGUUUCAACUACGUGUAUGCAUGUGCAAGUGCUUUAACAUGUUUUCCACCAGCUAAUAAAGAUAAGAAGAAGAGCGGCAGCACUCUCAAUGUUUCCUCACCGCAUCUACAAGAUAAAUCUCAUAAAGGAAAUGAAACAGAAUAAAAACAUUAAACGAAGAUAGGAAUGCCUCCAGAGGCCGUCACAAUCAAUAUAAUCAAUCUCUAACAUAGCCCACCUUAGGUCACCAUGUGUGCAAUAAAUAACAUAAUAAGUACCACCUUAUUUCGCCACUCGUGAAUCAUAGUAUUUCCCCACUUAUUUCGCCACAUGCACAACCCACAUAUAAGCGUAUGAACAUCUCUCGCCUUAUUACACCGCACGUGCAAUAAAUCAAUGGCAGCAGUGGCAUGUCAAAGACCUCGUGCAAACUCUCAACAAAAAUCGCAUGGCAGAAACCUCAUGUAUCACAUAUCAAUAACUGCAUGGCAGAAACCUCGUGCACCACAAUAUCAACAGUAGCACGGCAGAAACCUCGUGCAUCACAGUAUCAACAACUGCACGGCACAAACCUCGUGCACCAUAAUAUUAAUAGUAGCACGACAUAAAUCUCAUGCAUCACAAUAUCAAGUACAACUGCAACAAUUGCAAUAUAUAUUGGAAUGAAGCAAAAGAAUCACUAAGGUAUUUCCGUUCACCAAAAGACAGUACAACUAACUCAUAAGGAAUACCUGUAACAGAGAAAUACAAAGCGCAAAAAGGAAUAAAUGAUAAGAAACAACGAUUCCAUAAUACUCAGUUCAACAACAAGGAAGUUAACANNNNNNNNNNNNNNNNNNNNNNNNNNNNNNNNNNNNNNNNNNNNNNNNNNNNNNNNNNNNNNNNNNNNNNNNNNNNNNNNNNNNNNNNNNNNNNNNNNNNNNNNNNNNNNNNNNNNNNNNNNNNNNNNNNNNNNUGAACCAAAUAAUUACAAUUAUAAAUGAUAAGAAACAACGAUUCCAUAAUACUCAGUUCAACAACAAGGAAGUUAACAUGAACCAAAUAAUUACAAUUAAGGAAGUAUCAACUAAACAUAUUUUAUCUAACUUCUUUUCAUUUAAGACCAAUUAAUUACACGAGAGAUAGAAACAAUACUUUACAAAUAAAGACGAGCAGUUAGGAAUGAUAAUGCUACAAUAGAAGGGUAAGUGUCCAUAAUUAAUCAAGUAAAAGUCGAUUAGGCAACAAGAACAAACCAAACCGGACAAAGAAAUUCCAGGUAAGACAUGUAGAGGGGAAACUAAUAACAGGGAACUCAAUUGUAUCAAGAACAACUUCAUAUUCGGUGAUUACAAAUAUCUAAGAGCCUAAAAGGGACAAAUUGUUCACAAAUAGAUCCGAGCACGCACUCGUCACCUUAUGUACAAGGAAUUAAAGCAACAAAGAAGACUCAAUUCCUAAGGGGAAGUCCCCUGCAUAAGGUUAGGAAAGAUACUUACCUCGAACUAGCUAAAAUAAAAUAGCAACCACGUUCUUGCCAUGAGUACUCAACUACAAAUAUCCGAAAUCUAUUCAAUUCAAUCACGCAUUGUAAAUAACAUCUCAAGAAACUAAUUCUACUAUUUAGUUCAAGCUAAGACGCGAAUUUAGGUAAAAUAACCAAAAUACCCAUCAAGCCAACAUGGUCAAAACCCAGGGUUCGAACCAAAACCCGGUUAUCCAUUCCCCACGAACACAAAUAUAUGAUUCAUUUUGUAAUCAAACCUCAAAUUGAGGUCCAAAUUCCUAAUUUUAGAAAAACCUAGGUUCUACCCAAAACAUCCAAUUUCACCAAUGAAAACCCUUGAUUUUAAGUUGAAGAUGUUGAUGAUUGAACUAAAUGAGUAAAAUUUGCUCUUCAAAAAUGCCCCAAAUCAGUUGUGUUUUGAAAAUGGGGUGAAAAUGUCUCAAAUUCGACUAAGUAUGGAAAAUGCAAGUUGCAUAUGUGGGAAAUGCGAACUGGCGUUCGCAAUUGCGAACCCCAACUAAUAAUACAUAUUGCGAACUUUUGUACGCAUUUGCAAACUCAUAACCAACUGGAGGACUUUGCAUUUGCGACUAAUGUAUCGCAUUUGCGAACGUCUAACCUUCGCAUUUGCGAAGCGUUUUAUCCCAUUAGCGAUUCAAGGCACGCUUGGCUGGUUUCCCAUUUGCGAUCCGGCCUUCGCAUUUGCGAGUUUGCAUUUACAAACCAAGAUGCGCAAAUGAGACCCAUGCAAGCAUGUUCAUACCAGAUUUUUCAAAAAUUUAAAAAUGCAAUCCGACGCCUAUCCAAACCUCACCCGAGCCCUCGGGGCUCCAAAACAAAUAUGCACACAACCUCAAAAAUAUCCUAGAGACUUAUUAGCACGAUCAAAUUGCCAAAAUAACAUCAUAUACAUCAAAUUAAGACUCAAAACUCAUUAUUUCCUCCAAAUUUUCGUAAAACAGCAUAUUUCAUUGUAAGUUCGAAACACGUCAAAUGACAUUCAUUUUCAACCAAGUGCUUAAACCAUAUAUAAGACUUGUAUCGAGGGCCAAAAAUAAAAUAUGGGCCCGAUACCAUUGUCUUUUAAUCAAAUUUCAUUUUCAAUUUCUUUAAUUAUUUCCAGAAGAUAAUUUUACGCAAAAAUUCAUUUCUCGGGCUUGGGAACUCAAAAUUCGAUUCCGGGCAUACGCCCAAGUCCCAUAUUUUUUUGCCGACCCUACAGGACUGUCAAAUUAUGAUUCCGGGUCCGUUUACUCAAAAAGUUGACCAGAGUAAAACUUAUUCAACUUAAUAUCAAAUUUUAGUAUUUUUCUCACAGAAUUCAUAUCUAAACUUUCUGGUUAUGUGCUCAGACUACGCAGGCAAAUUAAGGCAACCCCAGAUGAGGUUUUUAAGGCCUCGAAAGUACAUAAUAGGUAACAAAAUAAGUGAUGAUCCCUUUGGGUCUUCACACAGUCGAAUAGAACAAAAUUACAAGGUUGAAAGUUACCUAGAUUGUAGAAUUUUAAACGCAGCCUUAAGGUAGAGAAAAACGACUAGUUAAACCAGCAACGACAACUAAAAACCAGCAAAAGACACCCAAAACAAACCAGAAAAUCAAACCCAGAAACUUCAGGCACUUUCAAAGAAACUAAAGUUACUACUUUUAUUUUUUGGAAGAUUUUUUCUUGGUUUCAGCUUACUGUAAUGUAUUUAGAUGUUGAUAUUUUGUGAAGGAGGGACCCUCUCUUUAUAGUAGUAGAAGUUCGUUGAGGUUAGGUUCUGCCUUAACAAAAAAUGUGUCCAAAAAAUAAGAAAAAGAACUGACUUUUUUCACAAAUUUCUGACAAAUACAAAAGUAGAUGUACUCCCAACAAUUCCAAAACAGUCAAAUAAACCAAACAUGUAUUCUACUUCAUCAUUUACCUUUUACCCUUCACAAUCUAAUAUCAAACUAACUAACCAAUUCAAGCCGAUGUAAAAGCAGAAAAUUCAGCAUUCAACUUAGCCAAUUAAACUAAUGUUUAUAUGAUCAAUAUAAGGGAAAAAUAAAAAAUCUAUGAUUAGGCAAGAGAUGUAUUAUAGUGAAGUACCUAACUGAGCGUCGAAAUCAGAAACAAUACUAUAGAAAUUAGUGGAUCGAUCAUUAUCAGAACUAAAACCUAAACAAACUAACAAAUUAAUUAAGAAAAAACAAAAAAAUCUAAGACAAAGAAAAAAGGAUUAGGAAUUUUACCAAACUCGAAUACCCGGGCAAUGUCAUAAUAAUAACAAUAGGCAGUGGUUCGGGCUCAGGCAUGCUUUUAUUGUUGAUAUACACCAAAAUCAUAAAUUCGUACAAACCGAAAAAUGGUUUUGGUAUUGUCAAUAUUAGAAACCUACACGAGGCUAGAGAUAAAGAUGAGAGGCAGGAGCCGCGAUGUUGGGCGGUCAGUUGUGGCAGUGGUGGUUGCCUAAAAGGCCACCGGACACUGGUGGUCGGAGUUAAAUCAAUGGAAAAAAUAGAGUUGAAGGAGCUAUAUCUGUUCAUGUACGUAUGAUAGGGUGGUGGUGGCUGGAGCUUCACGAAUUUGACAAAAAAUUAUCAUUGGGGCUUUCCUAGAUCUAGAAUUUGUGGAAUUUUAGGUGGUUUUGAAGGAUUUUAUUUGAAGAUACAGAAAGAGGAGGUUGUGUCAAUUAUAUGGUGAGAUUUUGAGGUCAUUUGGAGCGACGACAACGCUGGCGGAUGGCGAUAGUGGCGAUGGAGAUGGGCGGUGCGGCGGCCAGAGAGGGGGGAAAGGAUAGCGGCUUUAGGGUUUGGUUAAAGUAAAAGAGAAGGCCAAAAAUCUGAUUUUAGGGGCCUUAUAUACCUUUGAGGAUAUUGAAUAAGGGCUAUUGAAUUAGAAUAUGAUGAAG
rnacentral:lncRNA from 1 species